GAUUACAAAAAUAAAAUGAGUAAAAGUUUCAACCACCUCCAUAACUCUUGCCUACUUCCUCACUCAUCCAUGACACUUGGCAAACAUGCCAACAUCCUCCAUUCUUUUUCCUCUGCCAAAAAUCUAUCCUCCAAUCUAUUUUCUUCCUCAGUCAACAAUGGAGAAUGUUUGCCUCAAAUUUUUCCUCUAAACUACUAAAUUAGUGCUCUUAAAUCCAUUAUAAAUGGCCAUGAAAUCCAUCACCAAGAACACCAUCAUCAACAACGAACUUCAUCCUCUUCUCUCUCACCUCACCACCAUCUACGAACCACCUUUUCAAACACCACAAAUUUCAGUCAUAUACUCGCCAGAAAACGUGACACAAAGGAACCCAAAAAGAAAACCCAUUUUUCUCUCUCCUCUGUUCGGUUUCACACCACCACCACCAUCUGCCACCAUGCGCGACACUAGACCUCGCGCCGCGCCUCAGACGCCCUUUCCCCUGCUUCGUCGUCGCUCACCGGCCACCGCCGCACCAGCACCACUCACGUCUUCUCUCUCGCUCCUUUUCUUCGCGCGUUGUUGUACCACACAACACAACCGACGACCCGAACCACACCGCUGGAGAUUGUCGUUGCGUCGCCGUCGCUACCGGCCACCUGCACGCUUGUCGGAGCUCCUUCUCGCGCACCUUGUGGUUCAUCGUUCAUCGCUGCUCAAAAUAAGAGCAGAGAUUAAAGGAAGGAUUAUUACAAGCCUCCCCCGGCUAUCAAGGUUGUUAAGCAGGAAUUCAGGUAACGUCUACUGCUAACACCCGCAUUCCCCUUCGAAGUAUAUGUUUUAUGAUCAUGAUUAAUAUUAUAUUUUAUAUAUGGAUCGCGGGAAAUGAAAUGUUUUAUGAUGGUUAUGAAUGAUAUGAUGCUAUGAAAUGAUGAUGCUGAUGAUGUUAUGAUGAAAUGAAAGAAUAUAAUUAUUCACGAUGAUGAUGAUAUGCUUAAAAGAAAUGAAACAUGAUAAAUUCAAAUGAAAGACGGUUCUUGGCAAGUAUCCCGUUAUCCUGGAUCGUGCACAUACCUCCCGGCCGGUUAACCACCUCCCGUUUAGUGAGGGCUAUUGUCCUCGGGUGGCCCGUGCAUUCUAUAUUCUGGGCAUUAACGCCACCUCCUUUUUAGUUUGGGCCUUGGAGCUCUACCACUUAAUGGACUGAUUUAAUUAUUUCAGUUAAGCCACUUCAUAUAGUUCUUACAUUUAUUAUUGGGCUAAUUUUAUGGACUAAUCUGGUUAUAAAUUAUGUUAAUAAACCACUUAAUUAGGCUAAACUUGUAUUAAAGAUUAAACUAAUUAAAUUAUGCUAUGUUAAACUAACUAUUCAUAUUAGUUAAAUUGUAUAAACGAGUAAUGGUAACAAGUUAAGCUUAUAUGUUGAUUAUUUUAAUUCAAUAGUUAACUAGUUGCUUAAUUUCUAGAUUUUAUGACAUUAAGGUUAUAAGUAUGAUAAUUUUCGGAAAUAUGAAAUAUUAUAAGUAAUCAUUCUAGCUCAGUAACAACCAUGCUUAAACUUAACUAUGGGUUAAACGAGUAAAUUGAUAGCUUAAUAGAUUGUUAACCACUAUCCUAAAAUUUGUGAAUCAUGGUAUAAUGUCGUUUUUAAUAAAAUAUCUUCGUUUUAUAACAUGUACUAUUUAUAGUGGGAACAAUUAGAAUAUGAAAAUCUAAUUUAUUUGCAAGUUAUUAUUAAUAUGAAUUACAAAUCAAGAUUAACUUGUUAAUGUCAUCUAGAUAUGACUUUUCCGUUUAAAAGAAGCGUAUGAUAAAUAGCCUGGAUUGUAAGUCAAGUUAAGAUUAAAGUUUAUGGUCGCCUAAGUAUGACACCUAAUGAAAUAAUGUGUUAAAGAAGUCGUCUUAGUUAAAUAGUAAUAAAUUACGUUAUUCAAUUCUCAAGUAGAUUAAAGGAAGGAUUAUUACAAGCCUCCCCCGGCUAUCAAGGGUGUUAAGCAGGAAUUCAGGUAUGGAAGAAGUGUUGUGGAUCACUAUUAUACUACGUUAUGGAGAUUAUGUAUGAUUCUAUGAGGUUUUAGGAUAUUUUGUAUGAUGGAUAAACAAGUAUUAUUUUACGAUGAGUAAUUGUAUAGUGAAUUUUUAAUUUUAGGCUAUUAUUUUAUUUGUGUGCCAUAACCCACAGGAUUAAGUUAUGCUUCCGCUGACGAUUAAGGUUAUGUAUUUGUCGGGGCGUUACACUUUUAUUCCUUGGAGUUAAUUUUUCUUUAAGUGUUGGGCCAUUAAUUGUGACCUUUGUUGUUUCUUGUGUUGCAUGUUGUUGCAUGUCUGUUGCGAUAUCAUUCUGAAUCAUAGAUCUAAUCAAGCAAAGCAUCCCAUCCCUCCUCUAACAACUGAUCAACACUGAAGAACCCAUCAUCUUGCUGAUUCUGCAUUUUCCCCCUAGUAGAUUUGGAAAUGAAGAAGAUGAUUUGGGAAUGGUAAUAACAAAUUAGUGUUGUGUAAUUAUGGAGGUCAAUUUUUUGGUUUACAAACUCAUCUUAAUUGAUGGUGAUUUUUGUGGUUGGUGAACAUUAAUGGUGCCUCUUUAGGUUGAUCCUUAUAUAGUGUUGUUAACUUAAUGACCAAGUGUA